AAUGAUCCACAUUCUGUCUUUCUUAUUUUUCUUUUUUACCUUCCCAUAAAGGAGGUUGCUUCGUUUUAAAGAGAAAUCAAGAAGACGCAAAAGCCUCCCGACUAGCGGAGGUUUUUUUGUU
rfam:Xenorhabdus szentirmaii DSM 16338, WGS project CBXF01000000 data, contig: XENSZ_2115_Contig_14